CGACGCAAAGCACUAGGAUCGGCUUUACUAACGAAGGGGCAGUGCUUUGCAGCUAAUUUCACAACGCGUUCCAUUAUUUAAAUAAGAAAAAUAAAGAAAGAGAGUGACAAUGAAAAACCCAAAACCAGCAAAAAAUCGAUCCAAUCUUAUAGAAAAAAUGCGACCGAGAGAAGAGGAUAUAGAGUCAACGCUUUGACUAAUAUAUAUUUUUUAUUUCUUAAAACCCUUUCAAUGGAUCAACCAACUUUCAAAGUGUCUAUCCAAUCCUUCUUACAGAGCAAGAAAAAGGUUGAGCAAAUUAGAAAAAAAAACAAUCCAACCAAGACCUAGCGGGCAAAUAACGAUGCUAUCGACUGUGGUAUUAGAAGGUACGAAUUUGCAACACCCCGGUAUAGUUAUUUAGGGAAAAAUAUUACGGUAUCCAAAUCGAUCUCUGGAUAACGAUGGGAAACGUAGAAAGAAAGCAACAGGUCAACCUUUAGUUACUUAUUUAAAGAAAUAGGUAAGAUAAAAAAUUUACCUUACUAUAAAUAAGACAGAAGAUGUAACGAUGAGAAAUAUUAUCGGAAAACCAGUCAAUAAACUUAAAUGUUUUCAACUGGACGAUAUUACAAGCACAAUUCGUUUCGGAGGUUAGCUUUCGUUAAGUUUAUGCCUAAAGAAUUGCUGUUCAGUUAGGAAAUUCAAAAAAGAAAGGAGGAAUUGCGGAUUUUAUUGCAACAGCGGAUUUCGUCAAGAUUGUCCUAGAUAGCAACUAUUACAAAUCGCUGUGCGGGCCUAAAAAGGAACUAGGUUAGUAAUGAAUCCUGAAACGGACGCCUCGCUAUUUUUAAGCACCAACAAGACUCACGAACAAGAAAAAAAAAUCCCCGACGGCAAUUUCCCGAAGGAAGUAAAUGUCAACGCCCAAUAAUGGCGCAUCUAAUUACAUGCAUCCCCAAACGAAUGGAAACAAGAUGGCCGCUAGUAAAAAUGAAAUCAACUUGGAGCAGCUUUUCCAUUCAGAGAUGCAUGCGCAAAUGGCGAGGAGGAUAAGGAUGACUGUGCGGGUGCACGAUGCAUGCCUUAUGGAUUUUCUUUAUCGUAGUCUUACCUUCGCUUAAGCGGUUUCAGCGCAAUUUUGUCCUUAUAAACACAACUGCUAGAGACACUGCCUGUCUCGUUCCUUACCAAAAAUUAAAAGAAGAAAGUGAAUCAACGAACUUUUUUUUUUUAUUCCCAAGAAAAAAAACACUUUUAUUAUAUUAUUCCUUCGUAUAACAGGAAAAAAUACGCGUUCAAUUGUGGCUGUCGCAAUUUUGUCCAAACCAAGCUGGGGAUGGUAAAAGGUAAAAGGAGUUUGUGCAUUAGAGGAAGCAGUAGUGAAAAAUGUUACCACAAUUCAUGCACCUACAAAAACUGUCAUCGCUUUUCUAAAAUCGCUUCAUUCUUUACAAUAGUAAUUUAAUAUACUUCUGUUUUGUAGCGCAGUAUGGAAAUCAUUUUUUUUCUGAAAUCCUCGGGCUUUUCCUAAGUGAAAUUGUAACUUAAUUACACCCGGUUUUGUUCACCAGCGGGGCGGUCGGCUCCCUAAACUCGUAAACCCCCAUUGUUCCUUGUCAGGAUUUGCUCGCAGACAAUCCGACCGCCAGUGCGGAAGAAAAAUUUCCACUACCGCUUAGCGGGAAGAUUGCGACAACGCCUUGUCGAGUUGGGUCGUUUGGCUUAGACAAGGAGGACACGGAGUCUUAGCUACCUAACACACUAAGCUGACUUGGCAGGCUAUACAAAGUAGGCAGGUAGUUUAGAUGCUAAUUGCAUGUUCAUAAUGGUAUGACCGAUUAGAUGAAAGAGCACAUGGAGAAUUACAUAACAUGUUAUUUAUUACAGCGGAAGCUUUCAAAAGUUCUUAUGCUUACAAACAUAUUAUUAUACUGAAUUAUCAUUCUAUAUGACUGAAAAUUCUUUUUAUAAUUUGGCUCUUUUAGCUUAAUUUGAGGCUCUUUCUCCGUUUUAACUCUUUCUUUUUGUAAUGAAAACAAGCUUGGCAAUGCAUUGUUUUUCCCUUUACUGUGAUCAACAUGGUGUUGUUGCCCUUUUUCUUACGCAAAGCUCGCUUCUUCUUACUGUAUACUAAUUUAAACUCGGAUCAAUCGAGAAAGUUCAAACAUCUGCUAGUAUUACUACUGCCACCAUGGUUUUUUUUGUGUCCAUUAAUAGAGAGAUAGUCCAAUCAAGUUGAUUUUCAUUUUUAUUACUUUUUAUAUCCUUUAUACACUAUAAGUAUAUCUUUUAUAUUGGUUCAUGCUAUACUCUACACAAGUAUGAAUCUUGUAUCAAAUGCAAAGAAAAACUUUCCUUUUCCAUCUUGACAGUGUAUUGUUUGCCCAAUCAAACAAAUCCUUUUGAUAAUGCCAUUACUCUUCGUUGCCUCUCCAUUCUUUUAUUCAAAUUACACUUUUAGAAAAAACAGCAAUUGCUUUCACUCAUAUUUCGUCAAUCGUAAAUUAUUCAUAAUAUUCAUGUUCACAUAUCAUCGAAUUGCAUAUUUUUGCGACAUUCAUCAUCUGAAUUCUUUCAAAAGUUGAUGGGCAAAAGAUGCCGGCAUUGGUACGCGGCUAGAAAUGCAGAUAUACCUCCAAUUCUCAACACCCAUGCUAUACUAUUGUCGGCGAUGUCUCGAUGACUGCCCUCCGAUUGAAUAAAUACAAUGGUGGCAAUGAUGGUGCUCAACACUUGGGGGGCAGAUAUAAAUACAUUGUGAACACCAAUCAUUUUGCCACUGCUUUCUCGUAAUCCAAGCUUCCCUAUUUCUGAAGAAAAUAGCGAAUAUGGAAUCCAUAGAGUACAUGCCCAGGACAGUCCACAGAUAGCUACCAUUGCCUGCGCUUGCCAUGAUGUUUGCAAGAAUAUCGUGCUCAACAUACAAACACCAAAAAGGACAUGGGAGCUCAACCACAGAAUAGGAAGAGUAAGUCCUUUGAUUUGUACCUUGGAGGAUAUCGUUGUCAUAAUUGAUCUACUAGACGGUAAAAGCCUGCGUCGUGAGGGCUCAUUUUCCGAACGGAAAGAAGUUGUUUCGCUCAAAUUACCAAGACGGGGUGUAUUAGUACCAGUUCUUAUAUUUCCGAGAUCGUUUCUUUCUUGAAUGUUGUAUUCAUUAUUAGAUGCAUCACUCGAUUCGUCCUCCUCAUCAUCCUCCGUGUCCUCGAGCAACAAUGGAAGUGCUGUAUUUGCGGCAAGAGAAAUGAUAGCAAAAAGCAGUAAUGCGAACGACCCUUGACGAGUCGCCAUGUCCCAAUCUUCUUCAUGGCCUUUAGGAGCAUGGCGUAAAUAUAAAAUACCCACAUAGGUAGUAAUAUAAAACAAAAAUGGAAACCAUCCAAAGUAUGCAAAAAAUUGAACAAAA